UAAAAAUAUGCGAUUGGAGGAAAUAAAGGCAAUGUCAGGCAGCUGAAACUAUUUGUUAGAUUUGGUUACGAAUUGGUUGUUGCAACUUGAAUUGCAAAUUGCAAAGAAACUAGCAAUUUGAUUGGUUGAAAACUUGACAAGUUCUACUAUAAAUACAUGCCUCCAGUUUCAGUUUUAAAACACACCAAAUAGAGAGAGCAAUUGAGAGAAUAGAGAGUAAUCACGGUCUAUUUUCUAUAGUCUGUGAGAUAAUAGAGUGGGAGUAAUAUUUAAGUGAGUUGUGUAAAAUAAAGAGUGUUCUUUUUUUUUUUGAAGUGUAGUAGUCUCUUGACACUACUAAGUUGUAUUAAGUGAUAUUAUAGAGCUCCGUUCAAGUAUUGUAUUUUAUCCCCGUUAAAAGAUUUGGUGUCGUUGUUACUCUCUUAUUCUUGCUAUUUAACGUGGAUAUUAUUCCUGGGCGGGAUCAUUAUUUCCCAACAGUUCUAGACAUAGGAUAAAAAUAUAGGGAGAAGGAGGGUCCCCUUGACGGAUGCCUCAACUUGGUUGAAAAUAACUAGUGACAGCACCAUUUAUAUCAAUGGCUAUACUAGUACUCAGACAAUUCAUUAUUAAUUUAGUGAUGCCAGGGGGAAAGUGAAAAAACCUAAGCUUACGAUAAUCACAGGACCAUUCAAGCUUAUCAAAAGCUUUCUCCAGAUCCAGUUUUAUUAGCAUGUCAUAUUUUUUGCCUUUUUUUCGUUUGAAAUAAGAAACUAUUUCCUGGACUAAUAGCCUGUUUGGCCAAGUUAAUUUUUUUCCUAAAAGUACUUAUUUUUUCAAUAAGUGCUUAUUUUAAAAAAAGCGAAAUGUUUGGCCAAGCUUUUGGGAGAAAAUAAGUGCUUUUGGGGAGUAGCAGAAACAGUUUUUCAGAAGCUAAAAAAAAUAGCUUUUGCCCAAAAGCACUUUCUUGAAAAGUACUUUUGAGAAAAAUACACUUAGAAGCACUUUUUAAAAGCUUGGCUAAACACUAAUUGCUUCUCAAAAGUAUUUUUUAAAUUAAUUGGCCAAACACAAACUGCUUUUAGCCAAAAGUACUUUUUUGAAAAAUACUUUUGAAAAAAAGUAUUUUUUAACAUAAACUGUUUUUAUAAGCUUGGCCAAACAGACUAUAAGAUUGCAUUAUCACUAGCCUUUCUAUUAGGUAUGAAACUAGCCUGGUAUGGACUAAUAAGGGUUUGAAGAAAGGGUUUUACACGAUUACCUAUACUCUUUGUAAUAAUCUUUUAUACAGGAUUGCACAAUCCUAUAGGCCUAAAGUCCUUAAGAAUAUUAGCAUUGGGCACCUUAGGGAUUAGGCACAAAAUGGUUUUAUUGAUAUCUAAAGGAAUGUCAUGAUUUUGGAACACUUUAGUACAAAAUUGGAUUAUUGAGUGAGUUAAUUGUUAUAGCCCGUAUUUUGUACGUUGGAUAUUUCAAAGUCAUCGUGGAAAGUUAAAGGCGAGACCAUUUUCAAAAUUAUUUUAGUGCACAAGUUAGUUAUGAAUAUUAUUUAUGAAUAUUAGUGGACGAAAAUAUUGAGAAAGGUUAAGGGCAAAAAGGAGAAAUUCAAAAUGAUAAAUGGUAAUAUUGAGGAAAGUUGAGGGGCAAAAUGGGAAUUUCACAAGGUGUUCAAGAAAGUUCUUGAGGGACCAAAGUGUACAUGGUAAGAUAUUAGGUCAUCUUUUAUUCUAAGAAAAAUUCAAAAAAAAAAAAGAAGGGGAAUUCUCUAGAGAAAGAAAGGAUGGCCAAGUGUCCACAUUCUUACUUAAGGGGCCUAAGUGUAUAUAUGAAAAAGUGGUGGCUAAAAUGAAACAAGUAAGUCAUCUUUUAUUUAAGAGAAUUCAAGAAGAAGGAAGAAAGUUCUAGAAAAAUAAAUGAAUAAAGAGAGCAUGUGCUUCUCACAUGCUUGAAGAAGCCAAGUAUAUAUAUAGAUUGGAGAGGUCAUCUUUUUAAAUCAAGAAGUUGUAGAGAAACGAAAGAAAAAAAAAUAUAGAAGAAGAAGAAAGAGGAGGGGCCAAUUCGGCCAAGAAGGAGGAGAAAGAGAGGACCAAAAAUCUUGCCCCAAAAAUUUGUUUCUCAUAGCAUUUCUACUAAUUCAAAGAUGCUCCCAACAUGGUAUAAUUGUUGAAGCAAGAGAAUUACUCUUUGGUGCAAAACUCCAACCUUAGCUAAGUUGAGAGGUUGUGGAGGGAAGGUACUCCCAGAUGAUUAGAAGACCUUACUGAAGAUGUUCCAGCGGAGAUGGCGAACUCCAUUAGUCCCGGAGAAUUGCCAAGUCCAAGUAUAUGCUAUGAUGUUUUGUUCUAUGUUAGAGACUUUGCAGACAAAGCAAUGGGUAUUGGGGUGGCAGUCUGUAAGCGGCUCCAGCAGCCGAUAUGUUAUUAUGUUUUAUGUCACGAGCCUUAUAUGAUGUCAGAGUUUACUUAUGAAAAGAAAAAAAAAUAUUGGAGAGCUUACUAUGUAUUUCUUUUCUCACUGAUUCAAGAGUUUCUAUACGUAACAAGAGUCAGCGGGUUCGCUCGGCUCCAGAUAUGGGGUCGGGUGCCCAUCACACCCUAGUAAAGUCGGGGUGUGACAUUAAUUCUUUAAA